CUGACUUGGACUAUUCUGCAAUUGGAGCAAGGUCUCUUGCUCUGAAAACCUCAUCUUCUUCUUGCACCAUGAGCGGAUCAAACCAAGGACGCGGCGUUAGUCAUCAGAUCGUCGGUGAUGGUUCUUCACUUCCUCUUGUCGGCUCUAAACGUCGAAGACGAACAUUCGAUGUCUUCAUCAGCUUCAGAGGUUUAGACACUCGCAGGGACUUCACAAGCCAUCUCCGCAAAGCACUGUCUGAGAAAGGUAUCGACGUUUUCGUCGACGACCGGCUCGAGAGAGGGGAUGAGAUCUCGGAAGCCCUUGUGGAGGCCAUCCAUGGAUCUCUACUGUCUCUGGUCGUCUUCUCUGAGGACUACGCUUCAUCCAGGUGGUGCUUGGAAGAGCUCGUUCAGAUCCUUUGAUGCAGGAAAACAAUGGACCAAUUGGUUAUACCCAUCUUCCACAACGUCGAUCCUUCGCACGUGCGGUGGCAAAAGCAGAGCUUUGCUGCUGCAUUUGAGCGGCACGAAGAGAGAUACAAGGACGACACGGAGAAAGUGAAUAGGUGGAGGUCUGCGUUACACGAAGUAGCCAAUCUUUCUGGUCAUAAUUCAUCAGAAUUCACAUCUGAUUCCAUGUUGGUCGACGCAGUUUUUAGAGA